CUGGAGGAGCGCCUGAGAAUGCAGGAACUGUCUGAAGAAGGGGCUGGGAUAACGGAUGUGAUGGGAAGAUGAGCCAUCCUGCAUAGGGAACCUAAGGCUACACCCCCUGACCAGGAAAUCAGUGUCUCUUCUGGUUGGAAAAGUUGUUUGGUCGAGUGAAAAAACCAAAGUCUAGGGCAAGAGGAUCAAAGAUACUCCAGGGUAACUGGGCUCAAGGGGUCGACUGAUGCUAACUCACAAGAGUUAAGAAUUGCCCUGGAACAAUUUACAGAGCAGCGGUUCCUUUUCCGUGGAUGGAGACUUCUCUCUGCUCCUUGGAGCUCCUUCUUGUUCCAGGAUGAUAUGGAAAGUGAUUCAUCAGGCCCAAGCCCAUGCUGGAUAAACCUCAACAACCGCUUGCUUCUGGGGCUCCUGCCACCCAUAGACCUUGCCCUGAGCUUGUGCUUCAGAGAGCCCCAGUCCAGCCCUCCUCCUGUGUGUGACUUUAAAAAACAAAAUAUGUACAUGCAUGGCUGAUUCAUGUCAAUAUAUAGCAAAAACCACUAUAAUAUUAUAAAGUAACUAGCCUCCAA
rnacentral:lncRNA from 1 species